rnacentral:rRNA from 1 species
GUUAUGGCAACGUGGGUGGUUUGCUGCUGGAGAUGUUGUUAGAAGUCCACUGAACCUUAUUAUUUAGAGGAAGGAGAAGUCGUCACAAGGUUUCCAUUAGUGAACCUGAGGAAGGAUCAUUAGUUAAC